AAUGCCCCAGGUUGUCCUGCUGGUAAGUAAAAGGUAAGUGUUCUCACUCUACCUGGGUUUUAAGAUCUCUGCUUGGAAGCGUGUGAGUGUUCUGAGACACUAGCUGUGAGGGUGUGCAGUCUAUGCAAUUAUAUGAGUAAGCGCCUUGGCUACGAAACAGGCAGAAUCCAUUCAGGUUGUUGGCGCUCAGUGUCUUUACCUCCCCUUCGAGUCCUUCCCUUCCACAUUAGCUUGCUCUCAAUCAUCACAUUCCUUUACUUUUAUUUCACUAAUCAUUGUCUGAAAGGAUUCCCUUCACUGGUUUGCUGCCUGUGCCUGGCGGAAAAUAAACUCCUCGAGAGCAGGAAGUUAUCCGUCCCCUUCACCAUUGAUUCCCCAGCUCCUAGGAGCAGUGUCUGGCACAUCCUAAGUCUUCAAAAAGUAGUGGCCGAACGCACGAAUCUGCCAACAAACGGACGUACCAAUGAACGGAUGAAUGAAUGCAGGAUGUGCACUACAAUCUAGCUGCAAAGAGACGUAUGGAACACUGGAUCCCUCAGAUGCUUGGUAUAAGACACGGACAUAUGUAGAGUCGAAAAUGUAGCCCAGAUUCUGUCUAAUGCUCCUGUUGACUGUGUCCUACCAAAGGAAAGCAUCUGGAAGAUGAGGUUACAAGUUUCACCAAAUGUGGGGAGCCCAGAUAGAGACACAAGAGUGUGCUUCUCAGCCCAAGCUCAUUAUUAAAAUUUUGGUCGUGUUCGAAGACUUUUCAGAAAUGGCUUUUGGGAAAAUUUUGUGUCCAGUCCUUAAUCACUAACCAUGGCAUCUCUCUGUCAUCGCUUCAAGAGGCUGGUGCGUAAUGUAUGGAUAAUGGCAAUGACGGCAUUGUCAUCCACAUAUGAAAAAGCCAUAAUCAAUGGCUUUGAUGUCAUAAAGCCACAGCCCACCAAUUUGAUGUCAGCGUGAUGGAUUAGGAAUUGUCAGGCUACAGUUAUUGGCUUUUAAAAAAUAAGGAGUGAAUGAAAUCUACUUCUAGGGUGGGACAUAUAUGUUAAUAGACUUUUUUUUUUUUUUUUUUUUUUUUUUUAGAAAAAAGUUAAUGUAAAUCCCCACUGUUGGAGUUAUUUUAAGUAAUUUAUACAUGUUUUCCAAAAUAAAAGUGUGUGGAAAAGAAAGGCAUGCUGUGUAAGCUGGUAGGGUCAAUAUCUAGAGUUCUCAUAGGUAUGGCUUUCUUGAAUUUGUCACUAAAGCUUUGCAUUAUGUUUGCACCCCAGGAAAGGGUGGGGUGAGAGAAGGGAGAACCUGGGAGGUUGAAGGGUGGAAACAGGAAUAUGG